UUUUUAGUUUACAAUGCAAUGGAAUGCAGCGGAUCAAUUUGGCACAAAGAAUGAAAAAUUACAAAGGAAAUCAGAUAUCAGUCUGUCCGACGUUAUCAUAGGUUAUUGAUAACGUUGUUUUAAGCAAUUCAUUGUGGUAUGCAAUGCUUUAUAAACUGAUACUUUAAAGCUUAACUAUUUGUGAUGACGGAAAAGGAAUUAAGUAGCUUGCUAAACUGUAUAUCAUGUCAGCAAUACUACACUACGCUAUGAUACACUACGUUGCGUAUCACUAUAUGUCACAUGUUCUAAUUAUAUAUCGUACCAUGUAUGAUACGAUAUGGAGAUUGAUCUUAAUGAUAAUCUAUUAAGAUCAAUAUUAUCUGAAUACUAUAAAUAGAGCUACUGCUGAACCUCGUUCCUCAGUUCAGUUAUGAGCUAUAUUAGUGAUAGGUAACAUUAUAACCCAGUUAAUACAAUACCUAUACUCAGUUGCUACUUAUACAACCUGUGUAUUGUAAUAUAAUAGAUCACAAGGAAAACUCACCGCAGUUCUACGUAUCCUUAAAUCAGAUACCAAACU